rnacentral:rRNA from 1 species
GACGAACGCUGGCGGCGUGGAUUAGGCAUGCAAGUCGGACGGUAGGGCUUUAUCGUAAGAUAGAGUUUGAGAGUGGCGAACGGGUGAGUAACACGUAGGAAUCUACCCUUAAGACGGGGACAACCCAGGGAAACUUGGGCUAAUACCGGAUGAGAGUGCGAGAGAUUGCAUUUAAAAGGAUGGCGAAAGUUGUCGCUUAGGGAUGAGCCUGCGGUCUAUUAGUUAGUUGGUGAGGUAAGAGCUCACCAAGGCGAUGAUAGAUAGGCGGCCUUAACGGGUGGUCGCCCACACUGGGAUUGAGAUACGGCCCAGACUCCUACGGGAGGCAGCAGUGGGGAAUAUUGCGCAAAUGGGGGAAACCCUGACGCAGCAACGCCGCGUGAAGGAAGAAGGCCUUCGGUUGUAAACUUCUUGUAUAGGGGACGAUAAUGACGGUACCCUAAAACAAAGACCACGGCUAACUAACGUG